rnacentral:rRNA from 1 species
GACGAACGCUGGCGGCGUGCUUAACACAUGCAAGUCGAACGCUGAAGCUCAGCUUUUGUUGGGUGGAUGAGUGGCGAACGGGUGAGUAACACGUGAGUAACCUGCCCCCUUCUUUGGGAUAACGCCCGGAAACGGGUGCUAAUACUGGAUAUUCACUGGUCUUCGCAUGGGGGUUGGUGGAAAGGGUUUUUCUGGUGGGGGAUGGGCUCGCGGCCUAUCAGCUUGUUGGUGGGGUGAUGGCCUACCAAGGCUUUGACGGGUAGCCGGCCUGAGAGGGUGACCGGGCACAUUGGGACGGAGAUACGGCCCAGAGUACUACGGGGGGCAGCAGUGGGGAAUAUUGCACAAUGGGCGAAAGCCUGAUGCAGCGACGCCGCGUGAGGGAUGGAGGCCUUCGGGUUGUGAACCUCUUUCGCACAUGGUCAAGCCGCAACAAUGGUUGUGGUGAGGGUAGUGGGUAAAGAAGCGCCGGCUAACUACGUG